rnacentral:lncRNA from 11 species
CCAUUGCUGCUUUUAAUAGUGACCUUUCUCCCUCUUGCAAGCCCCGGGGAGAGUGAAGUCCUUCUUACCAGUGCCAGCGGGUCACUUGCUCUGUAUCUGCCAUGUUACCCAGGCUGCCUCUGCUCCUGCAGUCAGGGAAGAAGGAAGGCUGCUCUGCCUGGACAGCGGGAAUCCUUCCAGUUGGGACAUAGUCUGAAGCUUGAUGGUGCCAACCUGAUGGAUUACUGGGUAGAAGCCAAGUCGACCAAUUUGAACAGAAGAGAAUACGACACCUUGAAAGAAUGAAAGAAAAGAAAAGCCCCCCUCUGAGGAGAUGGGAAAUGGAAAGAAAACCUUGCACAGUGGUUUGAAGUCAUGUUCUGUGUCCAAAGUAAUCACCAUCCUGGCUUCAAAUCAGUUCUAGGCAUAGUGAUCUAAUCACCCGCGC